UACGAAGGGGGCUAGCGUUGCUCGGAUUUACUGGGCGUAAAGGGCGCGUAGGCGGACAGUUUAGUCAGAGGUGAAAGCCCAGGGCUCAACCUUGGAACUGCCUUUGAUACUGGCUAUCUUGAGUUCGGGAGAGGUGAGUGGAAUGCCGAGUGUAGAGGUGAAAUUCGUAGAUAUUCGCAAGAACACCAGUGGCGAAGGCGGCUCACUGGACCGGUACUGACGCUGAUGCGCGAAAGCGGUGGGGAGCAAACGGGG
rnacentral:rRNA from 1 species